rnacentral:tRNA from 1 species
GGGCCUGUAGCUCAGCCUGGCAGAGCAGGAGACUCAUAAUCUCUUGGUCCAAGGUUCAAAUCCUUGCGGGCCCACCA